ensembl:lncRNA
UGGGUGGGUGGGUGGUGGGGUGGUGGGGUGGGGUGGGGUGGAGAAGUUGACCCCCCCAUAGGACUUCAGUGUCAUGAGGGAAUCACUUCGGGGUUUCUUUACAGCUAUGCCUCUAAUAUAGCCAGAGCGCCUAGUUACAAAAAUCUUAUUUGCACAGCUACUUAAAAGUUCUGUGUUCAAGGUCAGGCUGGUCUACAGAGUGAGUUCCAGGACAGCUAAGGCUACACAAAGAAACCCUGUCUCAAAAAACAAUCUGUUAAUGUUUAUUUGGGUCAUGGUGACAGAUCUCAGGGUCUUGUCACCAAAUCUACCAGUAGCUGUCCAAUCAGUAACCUGCAUAUAAUGCUGUUGGAAGCUUGCAGGUCAUUGCCUUACAGCCCAGGGUAUCCCCAAACUCAAAACUCCCAGCAAAGCCUCCCAAGUACUGGGAUUGUAGGCCUCUUGCAAACAUGCCUUCCUUUCUUUAUUACGUUUAAAAUUGUUUUUGCUGGGUUCUUUUCAAAAAACAAAAACCCUGAACUGAAAUCUUCACCAAAAAAAUGGUACUUAUAUAAUAGGUUUUUAAUUUAUAUUUCACUGUAGAAUUGAAUUUUGGGGAGUCUAUGAUUUCAUUACUGCACUUUAAAAUCUAAUUUAUGUUUGCCACUAUGGCUCUACACUUUAUCACUUUAUACAGCCUAAUCCCCACAUUCAGAGGAGAUGGGUGUUGAAUUAGUGUUGGACAAAGAUGGGAGAUUAAAAGUGCAUUAUUGUGUCUGCCAGUUAACCAGUUAUCUUCCCGAGGGCCAUCUUUGGAUGUAUCUCCUAAUGCCAGCAACUGCAUUCUUGGACCAAUGGGGUUGUUCCACUGUCAUCCACAAAGCUCUUAGCAACCAGGCUUCACAUGUUGCCCUCGUACAGUCUGUGGGUGUGAGGAUUUAGGUGUACAGACUCCCAACAGAACUUUGUUAUUCUUGCUGCCAGCUGUGCUUGGGGAAGGAGGCAUGUCGCAAGACUGGAUGGAUGAUUCUAUGGCAUCUGUCUGCCUGUGCCCUUCACCUGACUGGGCAUUUUGACAGCACUCCCAGUUUAGCGGUUCCUUCUGCUGGUACCAGUUGGAGACUUCAGCCAGAUGACAGUGUCUCUGAAACCCUUCCCUCCUUCAGGCAGCUCCCGGUGUGGUACUCCUUUUUAUUUUCUUCCCAUUCUAUUGCCUUACCCACCCCCAGAUGCUUCUGAAGGGUUCUGACUCCUACUGUGUGGCAGGAAGUGUCUGGGAGGGUGCCCAAUGGGAGCUGUAUUUCACAGGCUGGUGUCGAUGGAAGCAUAGUGUGGGCUGGUGGAAGGUGUUUGCUUCCCUGACCUCAGUGCUCCUACUUCAAGAGGUUUCUCACUUUGGUACCCUGGAAAGGGUACCGCAGCUCUUAUACGGAGGUAAAUGUGUCCUUGUACUGAUGUUAUUUAUAGAGCCUUAGGGGUAUGGUCUUCAGAUUUCCAGGUAAAAUUCAAGCCUGUUUGGCCAAAGAGGUAAAUUGGAGGGGCUCUGAUGUCUUUGUCAAAUGGUGUUUAGUGAGUAUGGUUUAGCACUGCUGACCCAAGUAUCUCCUGAAGGCUACCAAUUGUUCUUAAACCAGGAGUGGGGAAUAUGAGGUGUGUGCCCCUCCCUCUGCCACAGUUGGUUCUCAGAAGUCAAUGAGUGCUACCUGACAUUCCUGCCAGCCUACCAGAGUGAAUGAAUACCAGUCCCCCCCUUGCUUCAGAGAGAGUGGGCAUGAGGGAACCAUGAUCUCUGUGUCAGCUCUAUUCCCUGGUGACCAGAAACACUUGAGUGUCAGUGUUGAGCCCAGGGACACGGACCAAGCCACAGUCCCUGUGACAAUGCACUCUCAUUUCAACCAGGAUGCUGUCAAAGAUGGCUGCUUUAGUCAGGCACACAGGGCUCAGUCUGGUGGCCUCUUGCAUCUUGGCCCAAUCUUCCUGCUGCCUUGUGAUUGAGUAAUAAUCCCGGGAGCUGGUUUGCCUGUAAAUCUGAAAUCACAUCCCAUGUUUGUUUGUUUUUAACUAUAUGCUUUUUUUAAAAAAGUUAAUUACUUUUUAAUAAUCCUUGCACUUCACAGUUUGUGAAAACACAGAAAUGAUGUGGAAUCGGUUUUUGUUAGAAUUCACUCAGCACUGUAGCCCCACAGAUGAAGGAGAAGGGAAGCAACCCAGUAAGCUCAGCGCUGGUGCGUUUAGGCCCAUGCCUUUAAAACAUUCCCGUGUAAGAACUCAGCAACUUUGUCCACUGACUGCUUGAGUUUGCCUUGCUGGUGAUCAACCAGUGGUUUCCCACGCUGUGCUCCGUGUGUAUGUUUGCUUUUCAAUUUCUUUUGUGAGUUUGGGAACACAACAGGAAAUAUAUAGCAACUGCCAUGUUGACAGGGCCAUGUUCAUCCAUUCCUACAGGGAGCCUGUGAAAUGUCACCGAGGGUCCAUUCUGAAGAGCCCCGGGGUGCUUUGUGUUUCCGUAGGGCCUGUUGGUGCUUCAUAUAGUUUGUCACUGGCAAAGCAAAGCAAAAUGUAAUUUGUAGUCUGUGUCACUUCAGAGUGGGCAUGUCCCUGUCCCUCUGUUGUUUUCUUAUCUAGUUGUCGUUUUUAUGGUAAAGAAUAAUCUUCAAGUUAUGUUCUGUUAUGACCGACACUUCCUUUGUUUGAAAGGUUGUACUGAGUCCGUAGUUUGGAGUGUGGAAUAAACACACACGCAUGUCAACAUUGUCACACAACCGCAGCAGUGAUUAUGUGUCUGACACUUGUGAAACACAGACUGUAUUCAUUUUGUUUCUUUGGACCAUGGAAGGAAAUGUAUUCAAAUAAAAUAGUUCUCGACCAGUUGUUGAUGUGUG